CCCUUAGAUGUUCUGGGCCGCACGCGCGCUACACUGAUGCAUUCAACGAGUUUCUUCCUGGUCCGAGAGGAAUGGGUAACCUUUUGAAAGUGCAUCGUGAUAGGGAUAGACUAUUGCAAUUAUUGGUCUUCAACGAGGAAUUCCUAGUAGACGUAGUUCAUCAGACUGCAUCGAUUACGUCCCUGCCCUUUGUACACACCGCCCGUCGCUACUACCGAUUGGAUGGCUUAGUGAGACCCUCGGACCGAUAGGCUGUCGUUGCAGCAAUGUGGCGACUGGCCCGUCUGGGAAGAAGGUCAAACUUGACUGUCUAGAGGAAGUAAAAGUCGUAACA
rnacentral:rRNA from 1 species